GAAGCGUGGCACGGUGUCCAAGGAUGAUGCGAUUCCAUAAAGGAGGGCGGGAGAAAUCUAUCAAGAGGGCAGGAGUAGCCUAUCAAGCGCAUAAUCUGGCAAACACUCUGAAAGGGGUGUGUGCAUUUUCAUGAUCGAAUUAUCGUUUAGACCUAAAUUUAAUUUCGUUACAAAUUGAAUUUCUCUCUUCCAUUUGAAUUGAUUGUUCUAUUGCGUUGAAUAAUGUAGGCUAUAGCCUUACGCGCCUGCGUCCAUUUCCAAUUUUAUUGCGCAAAACAUACGCCAUAUUAAAGCAAGGCCUUCUACAUCUAAAUAACGUGAUCAUCCAGGAGUUAUGAAUAUCUAUUUUGCAAUAUUUGCCUUCAUGGCACCUGUUGUUAUUGUUAUGAUAACGGUUGGGGUAUCAUGUGUAAUUCAUCGAAGGAGGCACAGUCGGAUUGAACGCUCACUUCAAUGAUGGACGCUCUGAAAUACCCCUCCUCCCCUUCAGUUUCUAUCCUCUCCGGGAGCAUCGCUCCGAUUACCAUGGAAGAAACCUUCCUAUCAUGGCGGCUAGAUUCCAGGUGAAGGAACAAGCUAGAAUUAUGUGACUGGCUGUGCACAUGCUCAGUUUAGUCCUCAACCCUCAUGUGAAGAAACAUGGACCUGUGAUAGACAGCAGAUUUCAUUGACAAGAAUCUGAUUUGGAGGAUCACCAUCACCCUCAGACACCAUGGCACAGCCCACACCCCUGGAAGCCUCCCUGGGAGCCAUCAUCAUGACAUUCCACAAGCAAGCUGGCAGUGGAGAUGCCAAGACCCUCAGCAAGAAAGCUAACCAACCUCUUCAAGGCAAAGCUGUCCAUCAUCGCUGUGAAGGGUGGUCCUGAAGGGGAUGACCUGAUGACGAUGCUGGACCAGGACGGCGACGGCGCUCUGAACUUCAUGGAGUACCUUACCCUGAUUAUAUCCCUUGCCUGCAUGUGCAACUGCGUCCUGGAAGGGAAAAUGUGUUUGCAUUUCAUGAAAAAACCUGCCUGCUUCCAUCUGCUUUCUACAGUGUAUUGCAUUAGGCCUACAUGUCACACUAAUGUCUCAUAUCUCAUUGAGUACAUUGGGUAAAUGCCCUCCUCCCUGUGUCCACACGCAUGCACGCACGCCCGCACAGACACAAAGGGUUGCAUAACUCGGCAAUAAUUAUGAGACUGAUCCUCAAAUACAUGCACCCACAAGGAUUCGUUGUCAGAAAGUAGCUCAGUUGGUAGUGCAUGGCGCUUUCGAUAACAGGAUAGUGGGUUUGAUUCCUGGGCACACCCGUUGUAAAAUGUAGGCGCGCAUGACUAAAUCGCUUUGGAUAAAAGCCUCUGCUAUGAAUGACCUAUAUUGUUAGAUUAUAUUAAGAUCUCAAGAAUGCUGCUAAACAGAGCAUAGCAUGUGAGAUAGUAAACAGUGUGUGUUGGCUAUGUGUAUUUACCGUGAUAUGUUUUAUCUUUGCUGCUAAUAAAUGGGCAAAAUCCCCAACCAAA